rnacentral:rRNA from 1 species
AUGGCACUUUUGGCUAAGCAGUGUUGGAGGUUGUUGUCUGAACCAGAAUCACUUUGUGCGAGAGUGUUGAAGGCUAAAUAUUUCCCUGAGGGCGACCUUCUGAAUUGUAGUCUUAAGAAGGGUAGUUCUUAUACAUGGCAGAGCCUAUGGAGUGGACAAACUUUCAAGAGAGGGCAUAUAUGGAGAGUAGGGGAUGGCUCUCAAAUAAACAUAUGGGAGGAUCCAUGGAUCCCAACCAGCCCUACACGGGGAGUAAUGACCCCGAGGGGUAAUAUUGUUAUCACACGUGUCUCUGAGUUGAUAGAUGAAGAGAAUAGAGUUUGGGAUGAGCAGUUGCUUAAUGAAUUAUUUUGGCCAGUCGAUGUACAUCGUAUUCUGAAUAUACCUCUGGCUAUAGGUAUGAUGAAUGAUUUUGUCUCUUGGCACUGCAAUAAGAACGGUAUUUUUUCUGUACGGUCAACUUAUCAUGAAGAGUGGGAACACCAACAUGGACGAAAGUUGAGAAUGACAAACUUAGUUCAAUCCUCAAGUACUAGUCCUAUUUGGAGUACCAUUUGGAAAUUAAGUGUACCAGCCAAGAUAAAGAUUCAUGUGUGGAGAGCCUUACUUGGAGCCAUCCCUUGUCUGGGGUUCUAG